UACGGGGGGGGGCAAGCGUUGUUCGGAAUUACUGGGCGUAAAGCGUGCGCAGGCGGUUUUGUAAGUCUGUCGUGAAAUCCCCGGGCUCAACCUGGGAAUUGCGAUGGAGACUGCAAGGCUAGAAUCUGGCAGAGGGGGGUAGAAUUCCACGUGUGAGCAGUGAAAUGCGUAGAGAUGUGGAGGAACACCGAUGGCGAAGGCAGCCCCCUGGGCCAAUACUGACGCUCAGGCACGAAAGCGUGGGGAGCAAACGAGGAUAGAAAC
rnacentral:rRNA from 1 species